rnacentral:lncRNA from 1 species
ACAAAGUAGCUUUUCUGUCUGCUGCAAAGCCUCUAAUAAUGCUUGUCUCGCUGUGUUUUUGUAGUACCGAGUUUCAUUUGAAUAGCAGACUUUUUUUUAGCUCUUAGCUUAACGAAUGUCUUUCUUCCGAUGCAGAAAACAUUUUUCUUUUAGAUGUUUUCCCCUUAUGCCUCGUGAACGGCAGACUGAUUUCUGAUCUGGCUGUUACACACCGGGUACCAAUCCGUGCCAGGACCUGAGCUGGCCUUACUUCGGUUCCCGACUUGUAGGGGGAAGCGUUCCCGGACAUUGUGCGAAGCGUUUGUGAAUUCGCUGCCACCAUAGACUUGACACUGUGCUCACGCUGUUCUCUUCUAUGCUUUACUUAUUCAAAUAGUCCCAUUAAAAUCGAUGGGAUUAUUCAUAAAGAAGACAUUGCUUUGUGUGUGUGGCAGGAAUAUCUACUGUUUGAAUACUGCAUCCAGUGCACAGAAAGUACGGACGUAUUCUCUUUGGUAUGAUGGUGAUUAAAGGGUGCUGCAGUCCUGCUGAACCUGCCAGAGGACAGCAGAGUUCUCAAAGAGCUUUACCUUCUUUCUCGUCUGUUUCCUAUAGGCAGGUUACAUUUCUCUAUUUAUCAUUUUUAGGGUUUAAAGCAAUAAUGAACGUGGACAAAAUGAUAACAUUGCACAAAAAUGCCUAUUAUGUGCUGACCCAGUACAGGGAUGUUAACUGAGGCUAGUCCUGUUGUUUUUAAUGCCCAGUGCAAGUUCUCUGUGGCUUCAAGACCUGUAUUUAAUUUAUUAUUCUGGCUACUCUUUUGUUUCUGGUGGCAUGGUACAUCUGAAAUGCUUUGAUUGUAUCUGCUUAUAUUAAGAGAGGAUGUUUAUUUGCUUAAAAGCAAACUCUUAGGGUUACUGGAGGCAGGCAGCAGCUUCCUUCUGAGGUGAACAGAAUCCCCUCUUGCUCAGCACAAUUUUCCCUAUUUUCCCAGCAGUCUUACAAAAAAAAUCUUCAAAAUUGUGUUUCUUUGUUGCACGUUGCCAAAUUCCAAGAUGAGAAAGUAUCAGAUAAUGAGAAUUUAUUUACAAUGAAUUAUUAUCCUCUGUGUACAAGAUAAACAGUUUGGAUUAGGAUUGGUAGGCACGAUAAAACGUACAUGAUGCUAGAACUGGACGGAAGACAGUUUGGUACUACCCACUUUGGGACAGACAAAUAAUGGCUGUGGGAGGCAGCUUGGUAACAUGGAAGACUUUGAAGAACUGAAGCCAAUUCAUCUUGUGUCAAGAUGGCUGGAAACUCCCAGCAAAUCGAGGGUGAUGG